CCUACGGGGGGCAGCAGUAGGGAAUCUUCCACAAUGGGCGAAAGCCUGAUGGAGCAACGCCGCGUGGGUGAAGAAGGUCUUCGGAUCGUAAAACCCUGUUGUUAGAGAAGAAAGUGCGUGAGAGUAACUGUUCACGUUUCGACGGUAUCUAACCAGAAAGUCACGGCUAACUACGUGCCAGCAGCCGCGGUAAUACGUAGGUGGCAAGCGUUAUCCGGAUUUAUUAGGCGUAAAGGGAACGCAGGCGGUCUUUUAAGUCUGAUGGGAAAGCCUUCGGCUUAACCGGAGUAGUGCAUUGGAAACUGGGAGACUUGAGUGCGGAAGAGGAGAGUGGAACUCCAUGUGUAGCGGUGAAAUGCGUAGAUAUAUGGAAGAACACCAGUGGCGAAGGCGGCUCUCUGGUCUGUAACUGACGCUGAGGUUCGAAAGCGUGGGUAGCAAACAGGAUUAGAUACCCCAGUAGUC
rnacentral:rRNA from 1 species